AUUGAACGCUGGCGGCGGGCCUAACACAUGCAAGUCGAACGAGUGGCGGACGGGUGAGUGAUGUCUGGGCAACUGCCUGAUGGACGGGGAUAACUACUGUAAACGUUAGCUAAUACCGCAUACCAUCGGAUGUGCCCAAGGUGGAUUAGCUAGUUGGUGGGGUAACGGCUCACCAAGGCGACGAUCCCUAGCUGGUCUGAGAGGAUGACCGGCCACACUGGAACUGAGACACGGCCCAGACUCCUACGGGAGGCAGCAGUGGGGAAUAUUGCACAAUGGGCGCAAGCCUGAUGAAGCAAUGCCGCGUGUAUGAAGAAGGUUUUCGGGUUGUAAAGUACUUUCAGCGGGGAGGCGUUACUCGAAGAAGAAGCACCGGCUAACUCCGUGCCAGCAGCCGCGGUAAUAC
rnacentral:rRNA from 1 species